AGAUGCGAUUGUACCAGGCUAACAUAUUGAAUCCAAUCAAAACUCCGAAGUUAAGCACACUUGGGUGAGUGUACUACUAGGAUGGGUGACCCCUGGGGAAGUUCGCGUGUUGCAUCCC
rfam:Capsicum annuum cultivar Zunla-1 chromosome 6, whole genome shotgun sequence